UGAUAGUUCACCAUAAAUUUCUUUACCAGUUAUUACAGCUAAAAUGUUCCAAAUCUUAACUGAACAAGAAACAAGAGAUGAAAAAUAUUUAAGAAUUGUGUGGAUAAGGCUGGAGAGAUGCCUUCAUGGUUAGCAAUCUGCUCUUCCAGAGGACUUGAGUUUGCUUCCAGCACUUAGACGGCAGCUUACAACCAUCUGGGGCUCCAUUUCCAGGGAGUCUGAGUUCCUCUCCUGAUGUCUAGGGGUACCAGGUUCGCAUGUAGUACAAACACAUGGAGGUAAACCACCCAUGCAUAAAAAUGAAUUGUGUGGAAAUGGACAACUAAUUGCUAAAAGGGAAAAUAAUUUUUGUCUAUCCUUAGUUCAUGUAGUAAUAAUUCAUAGACCAUAAAUGAGUUGUAUCAGAAUACAAUGUUUUAUUAAUUCCUAAGUAGAUGUUUAUAUUUAAUAUCUUUGUGUUUCACAGGUAUUGACCAUUUUCAGAUACUCUUAAAUACCUUAGGGUUUAUGAAGACCUGUACAACAUGGGUCUUUUCUCAGGGUUUCAGGUUGGUAGAGAUGUCAGACAUAUACAUACCUACCGGUACUGUAACACAGAAGUCAAUAAAUAUCACAAAAGAAUCAGAUGCCAUCAGAAUUCAGAGACAAAACUCACAGCUGGAAAAUGGGAGAAGUCCCACAGAGAGUUGAAUUUGCUCUUUCAGGAGUAAAUAGAAUUUCCAUAGCUUGUGAUGAGGACUAAUGGAUGGGGAAGUAGUACAAAUGUAUACAAAAGGGCAGAAUAAAUUGUAAAGACAAACAUAGUUCAGUUUGCUGAAUAAGGCAACAAACAAAAAGUGGGUCCUGGGUUGGUUGUGUAUAAAAUUCUGUUGCAUCUUUCUUUUUAAAUGCUAAAGUUUGACAAAGAUAGGUUUGGGGACCAUGGUGGAUGGGGGUGGGUGAAGAAAGUGUGAAGCUGCCUCACAGCAGCAGGUGGAAGGGAGGGAGGAGUUUCCUGGGUUAUUGAACAAUAGGUGAGUGACUUCCCCCUCCGGUGAAUGAGACUAAAACGUUGAGCUGUGCAUAGCUAUUUUUGUAGCGUGAACUUUAAUCAAACAAAGUGAGUUGUAGAGUGAAGGAAGUUCUUUGUAAAGUUGUAUUGGAAAACAAACAUGCAGCCUUAGUGCUUGAGUGAGUUAACCCCUAUCCCGACCAAAAAUGAGCUGGAUCUAGUUACAACAGCAACAGUACCAAAACAAAACUCGCUCACAUAGUUUCUAGACCCUUACUGCACUUUGACUGCGGGAAAAAUAAAAUCAACAUCUAGACACUACAAUUAGAUUUUGACACAUUGUUAGAGUUCAAGUCACAGAAAACAGCAGACAGACAGGUCUUCAUGGCAGUGACUCCCGGAUAGACUUAAUAACUAGAAGAUUAGUGUGCAGUUAGGUCCUUUGUGUAGAAGAAAGCAUUCUUAAUACAAUGAUUUCUGCAUGGCUGUAUACAGUAGCUUAGCUAAGAAUGUAUAAUAGGUGUUUGGCACAGACUUUGUUAGAUGUUCGCACCGCAUAAAGUGAACCUUUAGGCUUCAGUGUCUUACAAGGAAGCUUCUCAUGUGUUAGUGAAGGUAAGGCACUACGUAACUGUCCUCUCAUGGGGUGGAUUGUGUCGUUUAAAUUGAUGCAGGGGCCUUGUGAUGCUAUGUGGGCCUGAAGAGGCAUGUGGGCCUGAAGAGGCAUCCUUGAGAGCUGUCUGCUUGGCACUGCAGAAGGAUAGCAGUCCUCCUAUCAAAGCAGAGCUCAUAGUCCCAGCCUAGGCAACAUUUACCCUGAUUUCUUAUACACCACAGGUGUUUGUUGGCUACCAGGGGCAAGGAGCUUGGAUCUGUGGGCACACUUACCUGUACUCUACAUUAAGUGGUUGUAACAAGAACCAUGUGGGUUGAAUUAUGUACUGUCUCGUUCCUUGUAGCUUGCUAGCUCAAGUGUGAAUCUGAGCUUGAGGGCUGAGCCAUUUUACACAAGUCAGCCCUUUGGAAAGGUGUCUACUGGUUAGGAAGGACUCAAGGCCACAAAGUUAAAGGGGAAGAUUAUGGCAGUGGGCAUCGCCCCUGUGACCAGAUCAAUACCAGGCACUCUCUGACCACUUGCCCUGUUUGCAAAUCCUGAGAAUCUGCCUUGCCUUUUGGGUGCAAAGCCAACUUGACCAUGUUCAAAGCUGAUAGAGGGAGUAAAUGACCUUUCAUGCUUAUUUACCCAGAACUAGACAUCCCAGGUUGCGUUUAUGUUUGUUUGUUUGUUUGUUUGUUUGUUUUAAUAUGGGUAAAGUAGUCCCCAACAGGACUGGGUUUCCUGCUGAGCCCUGGGAAUUUCCAAUUCUGACACUAGCUGGUUGGUGGCCUUUGUGGAUAACCAGUUCAGAAGACAUUAGACCCAUCUCAUUUCAGCUAUGGUUUCUCCUGUGCCUUUGCUGGAUCAAGAGUCAAAAUGAGCUUGUUCAUCUACCUUUGCCUUAUGGGGCAAAUGCUUCUCUCCCCUGUGCCCCUGUUCCAUCAUAAGCUGACUGGGAACCCUUCAUCUUCACCGGGGAGGAACUAGCCCAGUUCAGAAUUGCUUUUAGAGACAGAUAACAGGUCACCACUCAAGCACAAAAAGGGUGUCUGUGGAGUUGUGUAGGCUCUAGUAAUGCAUUCUAAUGUCCAGGUCGCUGAGCCUCUCCAAAAGCCUCCAAGGAAAUGGCAGUAGCAGCUCCCUUCAUGCUGCUUUUGGUUCUGAGAAGUGAAAGAAAAUAUAAAGUGCAAAUCCUUAGACGUAAGACCCAGCCCUGGGAUAUAGAGACACAGGACAAUGGAACCCAAGUUAUUUAGAGGUAAGAAGAGGAUUCUGGUAGGAAUUUUGUGAACAGGGUUUCCAUUCGUUAGAGUAUUUCCUGAACACAUAAGCCAUUCUUGCAUGGAGAGAACACAUGGAGUAUAUUCUUGCUUCUUGGAUUAGCCUUACAGUCAGUGUGAUAUAGUCAACUCCAAACUGACAUUCAUUUGCACUUCAAAAACUCAGAAUAUUACCAGACAUUUCACUUUAGGUCAGACACAAGAUGCCAGGUUGUAAUUUAGUGAUGGCAAGAACAUUUUGCUUAAAAUAUUUCUUGUGAGUUAGAGAUCAUAAAACUUCUGAUGAACUCCCACUUUCAUAUUUCUUCAUCACUUUGCAAGUGUAAGACACAGAGUUUUACAAUAUUUUAAUAACAUGUGACAACUGGUUUUGGUGCAGCUCAAAACUGGAAUUCUUUUAAAUUAUAAAGGAUUUUGUGUGCUU
rnacentral:lncRNA from 1 species